AGCACGUACUUUAUAGACGUUUGUACAUGGCCCACCAGCAAAUCACUUACGGAUAAAGUUACAAGCAGCAGAAACUUGAGAAGUGUUUUAUCUAAUUAGCAAGAAGUCACGAUACUCUGAUGUUGAAAGAAGGAAUAGAUGCCAACAUAACAUGUGAAUGAUAAAGUUUUGCCGUGACAGUAUGCAGCUUCCAACAAAAGUCUUUUACCCAGAUAUCUGGUCUGGCAAUGUGAUUCUGCUGAGAGAACAUAAUGGUGCCCAACAUGACCUCACGGGUGAAUUCUUCCCACCCCAAGUCUGGGGACGUG